rnacentral:rRNA from 1 species
GUUGCUUCGUCAACCCGGUACGGGGCCACUCGACAGCUGGCCGCCAACCCGGACGACCGGCUCGGCGUCGGGCCGGUGAACCCGCUUUCUUAGUGGGUAGGAGGUCUUGGAAGGCUCCGGUGCGCGGGCCGCGCGCUAGAUCUUGGAAGGUGUCGGAAGGGCUGCGGAGGGCUGCGCGCGCGUGACAUGCCUGCCCAUAAAUCGUGACGCCGGCGGUGAGGUGGGGCGGCGGGCUGCUUUAAGUGGGUGGCAGAGGGAGUAAAGAAAUGGGUGGGCGGGUGGUAAAGAAAUGGCGUGCUGUUUCUAGAUAGGGCGGCGGAAGCUAAGGUGGGCUCUAUAGGGCGCUAAGGUGGGCUCGAAGUCGCCCUCGUCUCAACCGCCCCCAGUACCUCCGCCGCCACCGCCCCCCGCAACACUUCCUCCUCCUCGACGACGACGUGCUCCUCGUCGGCGGCCGCCCCGGCGUCGUCGUCCUGCCCCGCGACGGCGCCGGCUACCUCCCCGACGUGCUCCGGCCCGGCGGCGGCAAGGAGUGGUUCUGCAUGCUGGACCACCUCCUGGGCCGGUGCCUGGUCCAGCACAGUACCCCGGCGCGGCCGUUGUGGAAGCAGCAGACCCUGGGCGUGCAGAAGCGGCUCCGUGACGAGGGCGCGGAGAAGUUCGUGAGGUUGAAGAGGUCGAAGCAGGCGGUCGAGUUGUGGAUAGAUGAUCUACCUUGUUCUAUGACCUACUUCAUGUCCUUGGUCUAACAAAACAAGAUCUUCUGAGAUGACUACUACAUCACAUGACUACUAGUUCGAUAUUAGAUCUUCAAUGUCGUAUCGGUACAACGGAACACUGACAACACUCAAGACAGGUACCGGAUUGGCACCAGCAAUGAAUGGAGAACGUUAGACGUCCCUAAGUCUUUCCAACUAGGACUGUCUACCCUCAAACGUUUACUUCCAAAGGAAUCCCCAGUCUCCGUAGAAGAGUUCUACUAGUUCUCUUCCUUCGGCGGUAGGUUGCGCGGGAGUAGCGUCGUCGUCCGGGAGUGUAGAACGGACCUCCAACCGCUCAAACCUAAACUCCUUCUCUAACUGUCCGAGUUCGCGCUGUUCUUGGAGAACUAGUGUCUCCAUCACUUCGAUUCCGUCCUCGUCGUUCGAUGAUUCCUAUUGCACGUUCGGUACCUUCCGUCCGAUGCUCGACGACUUGUCUCUGUCCGGGUCUACUACCCCAAGAACCGUUCUCGUUACACAUUGGGUGUGAAGAAGGUUGUUAAUCAGGUCUUCGUUCUAUUCUCCUUCCUCGAACUCCUACGGUAGAGCUUCUUUUCUUCCGCCGGAUAUCUGUUACGAGGUAAAAUACCAGGGCGCCGCUGUUGUUCAGUCUCGCUCGUUGAACUAAGUGUCAAGGACAAACUAAGACCACAGGAGUCACUUGGACCUUACUUACCCUACCUCUUAAAUCGCGUCUUGUAAGUCCUCGAACCCGUCCCGUUUUGUCUGCUCCUCUUCUUCCUACUUCGAUUACCCGUCAACCUAUAGUUGUUGCUAAAGACCCGUCUCGAUAAAAGACUACUAAAACCUCUGCCUCUGCCCAGACCCGACAGUCUCAACCUCCCUUCCUCUGGACUUCUAUAGCUGCUUGACCGUGUCGUCAACCCCAUAGACUCAAGAUGAUCGGGCGUCAUCUCAAAACAAGUGUCACCAAGUGAAGUUGGUUGUUUGUAACGAAGAAGUCAUGAUGAUAACGUCUAGUAGAACUUGUUGGACUAAAUCAACUAACCACCGUUGUACUGACCGAUAGACUCCACAAGGUAUGGCCUCUAACCUGGCACAACUACCGUGGAGACCCAUCUCUCAUCUUCGACUUCUGAUUAACGACGCAGCGAACUACCUCUGGGUACUGCACAUAACUUACCCAUGGAUUUGAGCGUUGAGACUUCUUCUACCAGGUCUAGCAGCUGUAAGCCAACCAGAACUCGACCACAAGUCGUCGUCAUCGACACCUUCACACAAUGACAUAUAUGAGCAACCCACUUCAAAACAACACCUUCAGACCAGACAUCAGUCGGCAACCGUAGACCCACACCCAAAUGGGUAAAGAGGACGACGACAGGUAAACGGUUAAAUGGAAUGAAAAUCCCGGACACAGGACACACUACUAACCAUCACAUACGACCUUGGAGACAAUAUAACUCUAUUAUUUACAACUAUUGGAAACGUUCCAUGAGGGAGGUAAACCUUAAUGAACAGAACUUUUAUCUACAUAGAUCUUGAUUUUAUGCAGAUCUAUGUAGGUAAAGACGCUGUUCAUUAAGGCUUGCCUCCCUCAUAACCGAUCACAAGAAUAAUAACUUGAGCUUCGAUUCGUGUUAGUGGGAAAUCCGUUACACGUGACUAUCCGUCAAAAAAUAGUUAGUACAAAUUCAACUACCUACAUCGGUACGAUUGUGUACUAGACGAUCGGCGAAGUGUGCUCCUUUUGAACCUGUACGGUUGUAUGUAAGUUGGGACUUG